rnacentral:tRNA from 1 species
GCUUGACUCAGUGGUUAGAGCGUAGGUCUCGUAACCGAAAGGUCGCGGGAUCGAAUCCCUCUAGAGCG